GCCUGACUGGCUCAGUCCAUGGAGCCUGCGACUCUUAAUCUCAGGGUUGUGGGUUCAAGCCCCAUGUUGGGUG
rnacentral:tRNA from 1 species